rnacentral:tRNA from 1 species
GGCGCUAUGGCUCAGUGGUAGAGCACUGCCUUGGCAAACAGGAGGUCCCAUGUUCGAUCGCUGGCAUCGCCA